rnacentral:rRNA from 1 species
CCUACGGGUGGCAGCAGUGGGGAAUAUUGCACAAUGGGGGAAACCCUGAUGCAGCGACGCCGCGUGAGUGAAGAAGUAUUUCGGUAUGUAAAGCUCUAUCAGCAGGGAAGAAAUAAAGUCCUUCGGACUUUGGACGGUACCUGACUAAGAAGCCCCGGCUAACUACGUGCCAGCAGCCGCGGUAAUACGUAGGGGCAAGCGUUAUCCGGAUUUACUGGGUGUAAAGGGAGCGUAGACGGCAGCGCAAGUCUGGAGUGAAAUCCCAUGGCUUAACCAUGGAACUGCUUUGGAAACUGUGCAGCUGGAGUGCAGGAGAGGUAAGCGGAAUUCCUAGUGUAGCGGUGAAAUGCGUAGAUAUUAGGAGGAACACCAGUGGCGAAGGCAGCUUGCUGCAGCUGAACUGACGCUGAUGCUCGAAAGCGCGGGUAUCGAACAGGAUUAGAUACCCUUGUAGUC